rnacentral:lncRNA from 1 species
GCAUCAAAAAGCACUUAGGCUUUUCUCUUCUCCACUACCUCCUUACCAAGGCUGAGGCUUCUCUGCUGUGCCCUUUCCGGUGUGCACGCCCUCUCCUCUUGGGAGCUAAGUGAUAAACCACCUCAUCAUGUUAUCAGUGGCUCACAGCUCUGCUGCCUUCCCUUGACUCCUGAAACUUAUAUCAGGAAACUCCUGAUAUAAGAUCCCAUCCUGGCCUUGCUAUCAAGGAGAUACCAGGUCUGGCAAUGUGAGGCUCCAGUGGUCAUAGAAGCUAACUCCCUGUCUGCUUCCAUCUAGGAUGGAGGUGGGGAAGGUUCAGCUGUAAGGACAAGGAUGCUGCACCUGGCCAGCCAAGGGCAUAUGGAGGUCACCUCUACCCAGACAGAAUCAGAGCACACCAAAGGCUAUUCUCUGACCUCGGGCUGUUUGCAGGCCAGCUGGGCAGUGGAGCAGCAGUGUGGGGCUAAAUGUUUGCAGGGGUAGCUGUAAGAAAGGGCUGGACUCUUGGAAGUAAGAGUGGCUCCUUCUUCCUGAGCAGCCUGGGUCCUGCUCUGGUCCAGGAGUAUUUGACUUGCCUCGUCAGAUAUCAUGGUGGUUCUAGACAGCCCUUUUCUAGUUUUUGCCUUUAUUAAGAAUGAGAUGUCAACACAUUGUGACUUAAUCAACAUAAAAGUCUCUGUGUUCUCUCUUCAGAUUUCUUCUUUUUAAAUGUUUUUUAUUACUCUUCAAUUAAAAAUUAAUCCUAAAAACGAGUUAUUUGAAAUAAAGUACUUGAAUGUACAGUCACCCUCAUCUGUAUGAGGAGUUGGUUCCAGGUCCUAACUGCUCUAAUCCCUUGUAUAAGAGUUUGUGUGUACACUUGACGCUCAAACAUACAUCUGCUAUUCCACAUUCUUUAAAUCAUCUCCCAUGACUUAUAAGAUAUCAUUGAUGCUGUGGAAGUGCUUGAGGUAGGAUAUUGUUUAGAGGUUAACGUUAAGUAUGGAUGUGCCAAGAGUAUAUACCACUUACCCCCACCCCAAUAUCCUCUGUUUUGUUUUGAAGCCACAGAUGCUCAUCUCAUAGACUGAGGACCAACUGCAUAAAGUACUUAAUUAAAAACCCCUAAUCUGUAUAGUGCUAAAUCCUGUCCAUUUCCUGAAUUGUGUCAGGAAUUUUCGGAGCCCUCAUGCACAGAAUGUCCCUUCACUGAUGGCUGAGCAGAGGUGACAGCCUCCGCAGCUGAACUGAUACUCCGUCAUAUUUUACUGUACGCCUUGGAGAACAUCUCAGGAGGAGGAGCUCGCACGAGAGAGCAGAUGACUACAUCAAAGGCCCAGCUCUUCAGAGCCUGACUGAACCAUUCUGAGGGAUGCUAAUGUUUCUAGUGUAGGAGACGGCAGAGUAGCUGUGAAAUUAAGCUUAAAUUUUGGGGCCUUCUGCGCUGUGAGUUCUCUUCCAAGAUCCUGCAUCUAAUUUUGUGCUCAUAAUUUUGCUUUAAAAGAAAGAAGAAGAAAAGGUUAGCUUUAUAGGGUAUAGUUACAGCUUUUUAGCUUUCAGAGCCCUGAAAGCCUGCCUGUGGCCCUGGGGAGGAGAUACGCGUGUGUGCCAUGACGUUCAUAGUCCCACUUAUCAAUCUGUCCCGGGGAGAACACAUGCUGAGAUGACAUCAUCAUUCAAAAGCAAUGGCACAGGCACCUCUGCUGAUAAACAAAGUCUGAAUCCAUCAUUCAUGACAUCUUAGAGUUGUCUUCUUCACAGGAUAAUUUAUUAGGGAUUGAUUCAGGACAUGAGGGGGAAAAAAGGCUAAUAAAUUGGUACCUUCAUUUCUGGCCACUUCCAGGAUUGGAGCCUGAAAAUGAGUUCUUAAAGGUUUAAGGCAGGCAGCUGUACCAUUAUUUUUACAAUAGGUAAAUUCUCCCAUCUUUUACAUUAAACGAGUGAAAAUGGUUCUCUUACUUUAAUGAUGUAAACCUCAUUGAAAAUAAAGGUUUCCCAGGGCUGUGAUUGAGGGGCACUGGCUACAUUGUUCCCCGCCGGCCAGCCUCUUGGGCAGGAGGAGGCUCACAAGUAGCAUUGCUGAGGUUUCUGUGAGAAGAUGUAAUGCUGGGUCAAGACAGCUGCAGCCUUUCUAUAAAAAGCUACAGUUGGGUUAGACACAGUCCAUACAUCUCCGUAAUAUUGAUGAUUGCUUAAACCUGUACAAAAAGACAGUUCAGGGCUGCUGAAGUUAAAUGCCUUCCAAAAAUGGGAAGAGUUAAGGUCAGUGUCUGAGAGUAAUUCUCUCUACCCACAUAAUCUAAAGGAUCAGGUGGUGAGGAAGGAAGUGGAUAUCAUAUAGAAAAUGAGUCUCUUUCUCAAGCACACAUGCACAUGCGUGUGCACGCAUACACAUGCACAGGAGCACAGAGUAAUGAGAGCAUUUAUUUUGAAUAAAUGUUUAUAGUUGGCUCUCUGUGAAAUCUUGAAUGUGUAUACAUUGUUUUUAAUAUGAUACAAAGAUGCAAUGCUAUCCUGAACAGACAAAACUAGAUGAUUAUACAUUGCAACCUUUGUUUGAUUGGUAGCUUUUCUUCAUUGGGGAGUAGGUAUAAUUUUGUCCUUUAUAUCUGUGCUUCCUAGAGGAGCCAACUCUAAUCUUUCCCAAUACUUCUUGUGUAUUCUGUUCUCAAAUUUACAAUUAAGUUUUAGAGUACAUAUUUCUGGCCAAUCAGUGGUGGUAUACACCUUUAAUCUCAGCACUCAGGAAGCAGAGGCAGGUGGAUCUCUAUGAGUUCAAGGCCUGCCUAAUCUACAGAGUGAGUUCCAGGAAAGCCAGGGCUACCCAGAGAAACCCUGUUUCAAAAAAAAAAAAAACAAAACCCAAAUUAAUUAAUUAAUUAGUUAAUUAAUCAAAGUUUUGGAAUUAAGCUUCCCAUUCUAAUAUUUUAAUGGAAAUAUACCAUUUCCUCCCUUGUUUUGAAAUUCACUAAAACUAAUUUUCAGUCUGUGGCUCAUGACCCCUUUGGGCUGCCCCGCAAAUGACCCUUUCAUAGGGAUCACAUAUCAGGUAUUCUGUGUAUCAUGUAUUUACAUUACAGUUCAUAACAGUUUCAAAAACAUGGUCAGGAAGUAGUAACGAAAAUGAUUUUCAGGUUGUGGGUCAUCACGUCAUGAGGACCUGUACUAAAGGGUCCCGGCAUUAGGAAGGCUAAGAACUGCUAAUGUUAGCACCAUUCCUAAAACACAAGGUGUGAAGUUUUAACCCUGGAUGGUGGUAGCCUCUGUGAAAUCAUUCUUGUCACUCAUAAUGAUUUUAUAAUAAUUAUUGAAGAUGGCCCCUAGGUCUUUAGAGAAAGGGGGGCUGGGAGCAUUUGCUGCAGCGUAAGGCCCUAGGUGGAAGUCUCUGUAUUUUCUCCUAUAGCUGGGUAAGUCACAAGUCACUCUCCUGAAUCAUUUGCCCAGCUUGGAGUGGAAUGUAGUGGUAUCUGCCAAACAGGGAUAGGAUAGAGGGUUAAACAGUGUCAUGUGAAAGCAGCAUGCCAUGGCGCCAUGUUUCCCUAAGGUUAUCCUUGAAAAUGCCUAGAAUGAUGGGCACAAUAGUAACAGAAAUAUUUACUGAGUGCUAAUCAUAUUGUAGAUACUAUAUUAAAACCGGGAUUUUAAUAUUUAAUCUUGACGUAGAGGAAAUUAACUCUUUCUGGAAAAGGCACAUAUAUAUUUAAGUGAUAAUUGUAUUACAGUGUGAUAACCACACUCUACUAGCAUGCUCAAUGUCGUUUUUUUAUGAAUGAGAACAAUGUGUUGCUUAAAAGAAAGAAAGAAAG